rnacentral:rRNA from 1 species
GAGUAACGCGUGGGAACAUACCCUUUACUACGGAACAACUCCGGGAAACUGGAGCUAAUACCGUAUGUGCCCUUCGGGGGAAAGAUUUAUCGGUAAAGGAUUGGCCCGCGUUGGAUUAUCUAGUUGGUGGGGUAAAGGCCUACCAAGGCGACGAUCCAUAGCUGGUCUGAGAGGAUGAUCAGCCACAUUGGGACUGAGACACGGCCCAAACUCCUACGGGAGGCAGCAGUGGGGAAUAUUGGACAAUGGGCGCAAGCCUGAUCCAGCCAUGCCGCGUGAGUGAUGAAGGCCUUAGGGUUGUAAAGCUCUUUCACCGAUGAAGAUAAUGACGGUAGUCGGAGAAUAAGCCCCGGCUAACUUCGUGCCAGCAGCCGCGGUAAUACGAAGGGGGCUAGCGUUGUUCGGAAUUACUGGGCGUAAAGCGCACGUAGGCGGAUAUUUAAGUCAGGGGUGAAAUCCCAGAGCUCAACUCUGGAACUGCCUUUGAUACUGGGUAUCUUGAGUAUGGAAGAGGUAAGUGGAAUUGCGAGUGUAGAGGUGAAAUUCGUAGAUAUUCGCAGGAACACCAGUGGCGAAGGCGGCUUACUGGUCCAUUACUGACGCUGAGGUGCGAAAGCGUG